rfam:Bacillus wakoensis JCM 9140 DNA, contig:contig_147.
GGAUUCCCGUCGAGUAAGAGUUAGCCACUCACUCGUAGCGAGUCUUGGAGGUAUUUGGUAACAAGUAUCUUUAAGCGUAGACAGUUAAAUUGUGGGCCGAAAGCCAAUUGAGGUUGAAGGGAAAAUAGCUCCGAAAUACCAAAAUGAGAAGGCUGAUGUGGUUGCCUGUACAGAAAGCAACAUUCUUUUCUUCGAAAUGGCGAGAAGAAAGAACUUCUCCGGAGUCGAGGACCU